GCGACGAUGCGUAGGGGUUCUGAGAGGAAGGCCCCCCACACUGGAACUGAGACACGGUCCAGACUCCUACGGGAGGCAGCAGUGAGGAAUAUUGGUCAAUGGGCGGAAGCCUGAACCAGCCAAGUCGCGUGAGGGAAUAAGGCCCUACGGGUCGUAAACCUCUUUUGCCGGGGAGCAAGGGCCGGGACGAGUCCCGGCCCGGAGAGUACCCGGAGAAAAAGCAUCGGCUAACUCCGUGCCAGCAGCCGCGGUAAUACGGAGGAUGCGAGCGUUAUCCGGAUUUAUUGGGUUUAAAGGGUGCGUAGGCGGGCUUUUAAGUCAGCGGUAAAAAUUCGGGGCUCAACCCCGUCCGGCCGUUGAAACUGGGGGUCUUGAGUGGGCGAGAAGAAGGCGGAAUGCGUGGUGUAGCGGUGAAAUGCAUAGAUAUCACGCAGAACCCCGAUUGCGAAGGCAGCCUUCCGGCGCCCUACUGACGCUGAGGCACGAAAGUGCGGGGAUCGAACAGGAUUAGAUACCCUGGUAGUCCGCACAGUAAACGAUGGAUGCCAGCUGUCCGGGCCGAAUGGGGCCUGG
rnacentral:rRNA from 1 species